AUGAACCUUUGAGGGUUGAGCUGGCGUUUAUUCGCAUGUGCUUGCCCUCUCAUCCUUUAUACACCUGUGCACUUUUGAAGGGAGACAUUAGUAGACAUUCACUUGUCGAAGGUAUCUCCCUUUACAUUACAUACUCUAAUGAUUACUUUGAAUGUUUAAACGCUUAACAGCAUUUAAUUA
rnacentral:misc_RNA from 1 species